rnacentral:tRNA from 1 species
GGACAGCGGGAGAGCGUCCCGAUGCAAUCGGGAAGGUUAGGAGUUCGAGCCUCCUAAGGUCCACAA